CCCCAAUGAGGAAGACAUCCCAUAGAUAGGAAGUGCCGUAUGACACUUUAAUCAGCAACGGCAGC